UUCUGUCUUUUCCUUAACAAGGAGAUUGAAAAAACGGGUCUGCAAGCUUCCACCAUUAACUUGGGUGACUCAUCCCCAACAGGAAGUCGAACUGUGAAGAGACGUCGUCGUGAUGCUGAACAAACUACUGGUGCAAAAGCGACAUCUCAGCCGACCGCUAGUCAGGAAUCAAUCUCCAAUGGUCCUGCCAAGAGAACUAGAGGGAAAAAGAAUAAUGCUGUCUGCUGCUUUGAUGUCUCCUCCUUCUCUUCCUCAAGUGAUUCAUGUUUUUGAUAAUUUGAAACUUUUCUGAAGAAUGCACGGAUGGAUAAACAAAGUAAAGCGCUAAGUCAAAGUCAGAAAGACCUGAAGGAUUCAAAUGACAACAUUAUUCAUUUGAAGAAUCUAGGGUCCGCAUAAACAGAAAGAGAUGAACACCAUGUCAAGCUCCUCCGUUUGAAUGAAGAUUACGAAAGGCGUUGAGAGAAGAAGCGACCAAGCUGCAUGGGAAAAGAAGGAGGUCGACCUUAUUCAAGGGAAGUCUGAUUUAUCUGCUACUUUGGAAGAAACUAAAGCCGAUUUGGAAGAAGCUAGGAAUGUCAUUGCUAAAUCUUUUGGUGAUGGGUUUGCAGCUGUUGUGGAGCAAGCCAAAACGCUAUUUCCUGAUGUCGAUUUCUCAGGGCUGGAUCCGAUGAAGGAAGUUGUGGAUGGCCAAAUUGUUGAUUUCCCAGAUGUGGAUAGUUAGGUUUAUGAAGUUUUUAAUGUGUUGAACUGCGACCUGUGCAAUUACGUUUACUGUUGUUCUGCUGACUCUUGAACUUUUGUUGUGCAUUUUAAUCGUACGUUGGCUUUAUGUUGUUUGGACAUGUUGGGAAUGAUGCACCUUAACUGGUUUUUGUUGAUCAUUUCUUGUAUGAACUAGUCUCUUCCCCCAUUUGUUAGCGUAGGUAGAACUUACCUGAUCUGACUCGGUCUUCGCGAUCAUUUUCGUUUACUGCUACGUCCUAUAACUGUGUUGUUGCUACAAUUUGGUUCCAAAUACUUUCGACAACCCUAUAGCUUUGAUCAACCUCUUUGGAACUCGAUUAGUCACUCGUAACAACCAUUUCAUGGUAUCUUGAUAUCUUUCAAAACGAUGCGUUGCGUCCUCGGUUGAUGUGAACUUCUGUGUUUUUGCGUCUGCAUACUUGUGGAACCAUUUUGACCAAAACACUUAUAUGUGCUUUACUUUUGGAAUUUUGGGCAAUCUUUUCAAAUAUGUGUAUGCUCCCUGCGAAUACCAUGGGACAUUAUUUGUUGCAUUAGUGGAUGAUGUGUUAAGAGACUAUCUAUUUAACCAUUUUAGGAGUCUGAUUGUUCCUUUAAUAUAUUACGAAUUAGGAGACUGGUUACUCUCUUGGAGACUGAUUGUUCCCUUAACAUAUUACAAAUUAGGAGACUAGUUACUCUCUUAACAGAUUACAAAUUAGAAACCGAUUGCUCCCUUAGCAGAUUACAAUUAGAAGACUGAUUGUUUUCUUUUCUUAGCAGAUUUCGAAUUGAUAGAUAAUCAAGAUGGAAUAGAAUGUAUGAGUUGUAUUGUAUAAAAGGAGUCUGUACAGAAAUGGAGGAAUCCAAUCACAGUUACAAAAUUUGUAUAUGCAGUCCAAAGGACAACUUGUUUUAUUAGAGAAUAACAAUUUUACAUUGAUGGCAACAGCUUAAUAUAAAUGCUUGUAACCCAAUGGUAGCUGAAAAAAGAAUUAUACAGAGAAUUUCUAGAGUAAAGAAUUCAAACUGCUUAUACAACAACAAUCCCUAGCAAAGUUAAUGCAGUGACUCUUUCAAGAUUAAAUUCAAAUGUGGCCUAUAAAUCCUUAUCUUUAAUCCUAAGAAAGAGAAAAAUAUGAUGAUGUUAUUACUUGACGGUGAACUAAGUUGGAGUUGAGUCAUUCUCCUUAGUAGCGGCUGCAGAUAUCUCUUCUUGAUGCUUCUUUUUCCAAUACUCAUCAAGUGGGGGUCCAAAUAUUGCCUUCCCAGAAACAACACCAAUACUGCAUAGACAUACAAAAUCUAGCUACAUAACUAACUAGACCAAACUAAUUCAAAAAUCUCCAAACAGAUCUUAAUUUGAUUGUUCUGGGAGCUAAUAUCCCUACAGAUGUUGUGCUUAUAAGUUUUAGUAAUCCUAAAUUGAUUUAUAUUACAGAUGAAGUCACCAAAGGCCAAGAUGAACAAGAUCAAUAUAUUAAACAGAGCAAUUAAAUUGGGACAUGCAUUUGUAGAGCGAAAUUGGAUACGCGUAGAGGGAGAGAAAAGAAAAACUUACAUGACUGCACCGAUUACCGUAGGGAAGGAAAGAAACCUGCUUCGCCUGAACAUUGUUAAAAAUCAAAAUAUGUUCGCAUGCGAUGUCUGUCUCAAAUCUGAAGCAGGCAGGGCAACAAAAUGGAGAUGGUAAGGAACACAAGGUCCAUCGGCCUCAACCCACAUAGUCAUUGGAGACUAGAAGCCCAAAUAGAAUUUGGGCCAAAGCCCAUAGGAUAGAAUGAGUUGAUCCAACAAAUGCUACAUUUUAUUUUUUGUUUAAACUCCUUUGUCGAUACAAUUAGAAUUCUGGUUCCUUAAUUUCAGGACACGACAUCUC
rnacentral:lncRNA from 1 species